CGACGUGGACCGGCUGCACGACGGAUACGGAGGGUGACGGCGGCGGCGGCGCCGUGGGGAGGAGGAGAGGGGUUGGUUGGGGGUCCGGCCGUGGGGCGGGAGACCGAGAUGGCGGUGGAUUCCAUGGCGGGGUCGGGUUGGGGCGGAAAACAUGGCGGAAAAACAAGAUGGCGGCCUCAUGUUGUGUUGAGUCCUUCCAGUUGGGUUGGGGUUUCCCAGUUUGGGUUGGGCUCCUCCCAGUUUGGGUUGGGGUCCUCCCAGUUUGGGUUGGGGUCCUCCCAGUUGGGUUGGGGUCCUCCCAGUUUGGGUUGGGGUCUUCCAUGGGGCAGGAAACCAAGAUGGCGGCAUUGUGUUGGGGUUGGGUUCCUCCCAGUUUGGGUUGGGGUCCUCCCAGUUUGGGUUGGGUUCCUCCCAGUUUGGGUUGGGGUCCUCCCAGUUUGGGUUGGGCUCCUCCCAUUUGGGUUGGGCUCCUCCCAGUUUGGACUGGGCUCCUCCCAGUAUGGGAUCGUUCCGCCGGCUCCUUC
rnacentral:lncRNA from 1 species